CGAUCCGUCAUAUAAGCCGAGGACGUGAUGUGGAGCGAAAUUUAGUAGUGAAGUAUGUGAGCCAUGUGCCGAGAAAAGCCGCUAUUGUUUUAUAUGUGCCCGUACCGUAAACCGACACAGGUGGAUGAGGAGAAAAUCCUAAGGCCGACGGAAGAAGCAUUGUUAAGGAAUUCGGCAAAAUGACCCCGUAACUUCGGGAGAAGGGGUGCCCACUGAAUGGUGGGCCGCAGAGGAUAGGCUCAAGCAACUGUUUAGCAAAAACACAGGUCUAUGCGAAACCGAAAGGUGAAGUAUAUGGGCUGACGCCUGCCCGGUGCUGGAAGGUUAAGAGGAGAGGUUAGCGUAAGCGAAGCUUUGAAUUUAAGCCCCAGUAAACGGCGGCCGUAACGAUAACGGUCCUAAGGUAGCGAAAUUCCUUGUCGGGUAAGUUCCGACCCGCACGAAAGGCGUAAUGAUUUGAGCACUGUCUCGACAAUGCAUCCGGUGAAAUUGAAGUACCAGUGAAGAUGCUGGUUACCCGCGCCAGGACGGAAAGACCCCAUGGAGCUUUACUCCAGUUUGAUACUGGGAUUCGGUACUGCACGUACAGGAUAGGUGGGAGACUGAGAACUAUGGACGCCAGUCUGUAGGGAGUCGCUGUUGGGAUACCACCCCUGUAGUACUGGGUUUCUAACCAUCUGCCGUGAUCCGGCAGUGGGACAAUGUCAGGCGGGGAGUUUGACUGGGGCGGUCGCCUCCGAAAGGGUAUCGGAGGCGCUCAAAGGUUCCCUCAGAAUGGUCGGAAACCAUUUGAAGAGUGCAAAGGCAGAAGGGAGCUUGACUGCGACACCGACGGGUGGAGCAGGUACGAAAGUAGGACUUAGUGAUCCGGUGGUAUAAAGUGGGAUUGCCAUCGCUCAACGGAUAAAAGCUACCCUGGGAUAACAGGCUUAUCACUCCCAAGAGUUCACAUCGACGGAGUGGUUUGGCACCUCGAUGUCGGCUCAUCGCAUCCUGGGGCUGUAGCAGGUCCCAAGGGUUGGGCUGUUCGCCCAUUAAAGCGGUACGCGAGCUGGGUUCAGAACGUCGUGAGACAGUUCGGUCCCUAUCCGGCGCGGGCGGAGGAUAUUUGAGAGGAGCUGUCCUUAGUACGAGAGGACCGGGAUGGACGGACCACUGGUGUAUCUGUUGUCGACCAACGGCAUGGCAGAGUAGCCAAGUCCGGAAGGGAUAAACGCUGAAGGCAUCUAAGCGUGAAGCCCCCCUCAAGAUGAGAUAUCCCUCCUUCGGGAGUAAGACCCCUUGAAGACUACAAGGUAGAUAGGGCAGAGGUGGAAGUGUGGCAACACAUGGAGCUGACUGUUACUAAUAGGUCGAGGGCUUGAU
rnacentral:rRNA from 1 species